GUCUGGUACUAUAUUUAUGAACUUCAGAAGUUGGGGUAAAGAAUUCCUCAAAAACUGUAGGAAUAACAUGAGAUACAUGAGAUAUGCAUACAUGCAAAUCUGUUGCAUACCUGAUAGGCAACAAACUUGCUGCAAGGUUAAUCCAAGUGGCAAGUGCAAGCCGACAACCAGCUGUUGACGCAAUAUCUAUAUAUAUGUUCAAG